UCUAGGCCACCGUUUUGAGUGGGUGCACAUCCACCUUUAAAGAGGAGAUCAUCAAGAGACCACUGAACGUAACAACCUCGUACUACCUUAGCCAACUUAACCAAGAGAAUGCAAGAAAAGUACAUGAAUGAAGACAACCCAUGUAUAAUAACCUUAGUACCUGGCUGACUGCACGAUCAUCAUGUCUCAAAUUUGCCGAUGACGCGGCCUCAUUGAGCAGAAAAUCUCCUUCUGUAUAAAUAUCCUGUAAAACGAUUAAAAAGGAAUCAAACCUUAAAUGCUCUCGGCACUCAACCCACUUUACCUCCUUACCUUACCUACUUUCUCUGGCUUUUCUUGCUCCACC
rnacentral:lncRNA from 1 species